AAUAAACUUGAACAAAAGAUCAUAAGUCUCAGGGCUCAUUGAAUGUUUCGACAUCUUUUCUUCUUAUUUUCUUCUUUUUCUUUUUUUCUUCUUUCUCUU
rnacentral:ribozyme from 13 species